rnacentral:rRNA from 1 species
AGAACGAACGCUGGCGGCAGGCCUCAAACAUGCAAGUCUAGGGGGCGUAGCAAUACGUCACCGGCGGACGGGUGCGUAACACGUGGGAAUGUACUUACUGGUUCGGAACAACUCAGGGAAACUUGAGCUAAUACCGAAUGUGCCCGAAAGGGGAAAGAUUUAUCGCCAGUAAAUCAGCCCGCGUCCGAUUAGCUAGUUGGUGGGGUAAAGGCCCACCAAGGCGACGAUCGGUAGCUGUUCUGAGAGGAAGAUCAGCCACACUGGGACUGAGACACGGCCCCAGACUCCUACGGGAGGCAGCAGUUGGGAAUCUUGGACAAUGGGGGAAACCCUGAUCCAGCCAUGCCGCGUGAGUGAUGAAGGCCUUCGGGUUGUAAAACUCUUUCGACGGGGACGAUAAUGACGGUACCCGUAGAAGAAGCUCCGGCUAACUUCGCGCCAGCAGCCGC